rnacentral:rRNA from 1 species
GCAGGUUAAGCUACUAAGGGCACACGGGGGAUGCCUUGGCGCCAGGAGCCGAUGAAGGACGGGGCGAACACCGAUAUGCCUCGGGGAGCUGUAAGCGAGCGUUGAUCCGGGGAUUUCCGAAUGGGGCAACCCACCAGCUGGAAGAGCUGGUACCGCCGCCUGAAUCCAUAGGGCGGACGGAGGCACACCAGGGGAACUGAAACAUCUUAGUACCCUGAGGAAGAGAAAGCAAACGCGAUUCCCUGAGUAGCGGCGAGCGAAACGGGAACAGCCCAAACCGGCAGGCAUUGCCUGCCGGGGUUGUAGGGCGUCUCACAUGGAGUGACAAAGGGAAGGGAUAGGCGAAGUGGUCCUGGAAAGGCCCGCCAUAGAGAGUAACAGCCU